AUUGACCAAGUGAGACAGGGCAACAGUCUUCCCUGGGAGUAAAGAGACGAGCAGUUUCUGUUGACAUAUAUUUUAGGCCUGGCCUCCAAAAAAAAAUUUACCCAAAGCAGUGGUGUGUUGGUGUCCAGGGCUACCGAGCCUAAUCUUUGGCUGCCUCUGUGUUAUUUUAAGUUGUAAUUUUCCGUGUCAUCUAAAUUUGUAAUAAUUCUUUAGUAUGAUAGUGUUUCAGUGAACAAACAUUCUGCUUGCUGCAUUUCUUCUGAGUGAGUAAUUCCCUGACAACUACCAGAUCUUGGCAGAAGCAAAGUUGGUCAUAAGUUAUACUCCACUCUCAGUGUUGGUGAAACGUAUGAUGCGUAACACAGUGUUUUUGAAUUCAGUGCUGAUUUUCCUAAAGGACAUUUGGGAGGAAAAAAGAAAAGGAAAGGGAAUACCCAAAUUCAGGAAUAGAACAUAUAUAUUAUUAUAAGACUUAAAAAAUACAUGAACACUAAUCAUGAACUCAUUUCUUCUUAGUAAAAGACCUUAUGCUCUUUUUCCCAUUUCUCUGUGUGGCUUGAUUAUGGUGAAAGUGGCUGUGUGAGUUUCCAUUAUUGAAGGAGUUAAGGUCUGUGGAAUCAAAGUGUGAGACAACAUGCAGGGACCAGGUUGGUUUCCAUUUAACAGCCAACCUAAUGUAACUGAAAGGAUUGAGAGGUUUGUCUUUUUUGGAAAAUGUUAAGGUUCUUCCAAGUAACCAGCAAUGUGACUUUACCACACUGUUCAUUAACAGGGGUUUGGAUGAUGACCACCAUGUCUGCUGCUGGCUGAGUCCAAAACUGCGGUCACUCUCUCCAGCAAGCUCAGGGAGGGUUACGUCAUCUUCACUCAGCCAGCCCAACGCUUUUUCCAUCUGCUAAAAUGUAGAACAUGGUUGCUGAUUCUACCCUUUCUACAGAGAGAGAGGGAACAUGGAUGAGUUGCUGCUUUUAAAGAUUGUAUGUUAAUUGCUGUUUUAAAAAUCUGCUAAGCCAAGCACACUUAGUGUAAUCAGUCACCAUGGAGUUUUUUAAUAGGACAGCUUCUGCUCUUACAGAGCAGAGCUUUUAUGCCAGUGGGUUAGAAGCAUAACAUGUUUCUAUAUUGAAAUGAUUCUCCAACAAGGACUUCUUUUCAUCAGGGGUGACCUAAAAGGUAUUACUUGAAAUACAGUUACAUCAUGUUCUUAACUGGGUUUAGUAGUAGGAUAAUUACAGGGUUGUAUCCACCUCAAAUGGGAAGAACUGAUAAGUUUUGCACAAUUAUUUAACUCCUCUGUUAGGCCUUCCUUAUUUCCUGUUCUCUUUUUAAAAUUUGACUAAGAUACUCCUAAUGGGCUUGGGAGCCUAUAAAAUGAUCAGGAUUGUUGCCUUAUGUUUUGCAUGGUUGGGGUAACAGUGGAGCCAGAUGUACCCUUAAAUAAAAGGUAGGCCUACAAAACCAGUUUCUCAUUGCAUUCAAAAUGUGAUUUAAAAAAAAAAAAAAA
rnacentral:lncRNA from 1 species